UCCCUGGUGGCCUAGCUGGUUACGGCGUCCGACUGUUAUCCUUCGUGGAAAAGCAAAUCGGGAGAUCGACAGUUCGAUCCUGUCUCGGGGAG
rnacentral:tRNA from 1 species